rnacentral:lncRNA from 1 species
GGGAUACAGUUAAGAUGUGGUGGCAAGAGAACUGAAUGUCUCAGAAAAUGUUAUAAAAAUUAAAUUUCAACCAGGGAGCUGUUGUCAGAAAUUUGGUAUUUUAUUUUACCACCAAUCCUAAAAAAAUUGGUUUGCCACUUAUAUUUCCUAAAAAAAAAAAAAAAUAAAUAGAUAGAUAAGCAAACAGCAACAACAACCAACUGGAUACUUACAUUUUUAAUUACUUCCUUGUUUCAGUACCUCAAUCAUACCUCAGUACAUUUUAAGAGAUUGAAGUACUUAGAAGCUAUAAAACCAUUAUUAUUAUUAUUAUUAUUAUUUUAUUAUUAUUGCUCUUAUGAAUGCUAUGUCUGUCAUGAAAAAGCUAAGUUCAGUGUAUGUGCUAUUAGUUGGAGUUUUCUGUGAUUUUGCCACUGUAGCUCCCACAUGUGUGGAGUACUAGAUCUCAUGGCUUGGUUAUUUUAUACCUCAGGGUUCUUAACCAGGGCACAGGCAACAAGUUUCCAACCACCAGCUGUGAUGCAUUGGUUGUGAUGGUGCUAGAUGUGUAGCUCCUACACAGUCUGGUGGUCAUGGAUGUCAUGUGUUGUGGUUUCCUCCUUUGUCCACGCCAGGAAAGCCUGCUCUCCUGCCAUGUGACUCCUCUGUUAUGUAACUCUAAACCACAACUGUGAGGAUGAGCAAACACUGACAAGGCUCUAUGGUUUGCAGACAGAUUCAACUAUGUCCUUCAAGGGAGUCUUCAUUUAGGUUUGGGGCCUCCAUACUGAUCUCUUGGUACUGUCUCUCCCCAUCUCUAAAAGAAGUCCAUGAUGUCAGCUACAUUACAGACUUGUGUUUUUUUUGUUGUUUUUUUUUUGUUUGUUUGUUUUUUGUUCAGACCCCAGAUUUCACAUUCAUUUUCUGGUGUAAAUUAAUUAGAAGUUUCGGUGUAAGUGCAACAACUUGCUCCUGAUAAUACAUUUCUCUCCACUACUUUCUACUGCUAGUAUAAUUUCCCUUAAGGUAAUGAUAACUUUUAAUACUUGAACCUAUGGACUGCUGAAAGUCAGCAGCUAAGCAAGGAGUCUCUGUUG